ensembl:lncRNA
GAUCAGUACAGAUUUGUUACUGGAGAUACAGUGUGGAGACCAGUACUGAAGAGACCCCCUCUAAUCAUCAUAUAUUUUAAAUGUAACAAACCAGAGGAAGAGGACAGCAGCUUUGCUGUAUCAGUCGUAGUAAACACAGGAACAUCCUUCAUGAACGUGUGCCAGAGAAGCUUGCAAGGCAAGAUGAGGGAAAAAAUUAAAGCCCAGUGUCAGUGAAGAUGGUGUGAUCAGGAAAUCUGGUAUUUAUGGCUGAAGGAACAUCUACCAGUAAUCUACUACGACAUUGCCCUGAUGUUGAGGAAUUUUUUUUUUCUUUGGAACAUUUCCGUUCACAGAGACUGUGGAGAGAUUGGAGAGUUUACUGCCGAUGGAGAGCUUCUGGGACACUGACAAACAGCACUUCCCAACAAGUUAAUUUGGAGUUCUUUUUUAUUAUUUAUUUAGUCAAACUUGCAUUCACUAAUGCUGGAGUAAGAUUUUAGAAGAAAACUUUCGGUCCUGUUUAAUGUUGGUGCUAGUAAAGGUUUGAGAAUUUAUGGCCUGGUUUCACAGACAGGGCUUAGACUAAGCCAGGAUCAUAGUUCAAUAAGGACAUUUAAGUCAUUUUCAUUAACAUGCCUUAGAAAAAAACAUUACUGGUGUGCAUCUUGAGAUAAAACAAAGGCACAGAUAUUUUUAAAGAUCAGUCUGUGCAAGUUUCUUUCAGUUGAAACAGCUCAGAAUUAUAUUUAAUUCAAUUCAAAUGAGCUUCAUUGGCAUGACUUGCACAGUAUUGCCAAAGCAUAAUUAUAGAAUUACAUUUUAGUCCGGGGCUGGUCUUAAGCCUUGUCUGUGAAACCCGGGCUACCAUUAACACACUUUGGCAAUGUUUUACAAUAAGGUCUCAUUUGCUCUACAUGGAAUGAUAAUUUUCUUGAUUUUUUUUUUAUUUUAUUUUAUUUGUAUUAAGUUUGUGUGUUAGUAAUCCUAUACGUUAUCGGGGCCAAAUGACUCCACAAGGAUAGUAAUACCAGUAAAUUGUAUUGACUUUGUGGACAUUGAGGAAACAGGCUUAUAGAUCAUACAGAAUUAUGUUUUCUGUGAUGGUGAGAUUAGGUACUUUGGUAUGCAAGUAUGUAAGUGAUUUUGCAUUGUUCUCCAGACUCUUUCUAAUAAGUGAGUUAAAGUGUUGCAACUGUGUAUAGUGUUGGAUUUUUCUUGUGCAUCAGCAAAAAGCCUUUUUGUGUAUUUGUUUUAUUGAUUGUUUUGUCAAUAAAUGUAGAGGGUUUUCAAUUUUGUGUUUGUGUUGAUUGUAACUAGGUAAUAAAUACAUUGAAAUUACAUAUUAUAAGUAUAUUUUAGUUCACGUGAAUUGCUUAUUCAGAAGUAAAUAUUUACUAUAUUUCAAAGUACACAUAAAAUGUACUAAAGUCCCACUUAAGUGGUUCAAAUAUAUCACUCAAAAGUUCAACUAAAUGCAUUUAAUGUAAUUUUAAACUAAUAUAUUUAAAAUCAAUUACAAAUAACAUGCAUUUAGGUGGUCAAAAACAUUACAUUCAAUUCAUGCUUAAGUGUAUUGUUAACUGACAUUAAAUUAUAUUUUAGUUAACAUUAAUUGCUUGCAAGUACAUUAGUAGUACACUAUAACCGUAUUUUAAAGACACUAGAAGCAAUUAUGAAAAUACAUAUAAAGAUGUACUAAAAAGUCCCACUUAAGUGGUUUAAAAAAUUACUCAAAAGUUCACUAAUUGCAUUUAAUAUCUCUUUAAAAUGUGAAACAUUUGAAGUUAAUUACAAAUACAAUACAUUCAAACGUCCAAAAUAACAUAUUUAAUUUGCACUUAUGUGUGUUUUUUUAAAGUAUAUUAUUUCUGCAACAAGUACACUUUAUAAAAGUAUACUUAAGCGCACUUCUUUUUCACAAGAGGUUAUAUCUCCACUUUUC